UCUCCGUUGGUGAACCAGCGGAGGGAUCAUUACAGAGUUUUCACAACUCCCAACCCUUGCGAACCGUACCCAUUCUGUUCUCGUUGCUUCCGGCGGGGGGGACGGGGGGGCCCGAAACGGCCUCCCCGCCCCGCCCGCCGGGGGCGGCGGGCCCUACGAGCCUUUAUAUCUCAACUACCAGAAACCGUCUGAGAAAACAAACAAAAUAAUCAAAACUUUCAACAACGGAUCUCUUGGCUCUG
rnacentral:misc_RNA from 1 species